UAAGGGGCGGCCUACGUGGCCUGAGAAGCACCCUUUGAACCUGAUCCGGAUUAUGCCGGCGUAGGAAUAGGACUAA
rnacentral:ncRNA from 1 species